CUUGGGUCAAUUCCCCUGUUUUUUCACUGUCAUAUUCAUCAGCAAUUUCAGCGGCAGGGAGUGCUUGCCAUAGUGGAAACGAAGCAAGAACUGGAUGGAGCUCAGGAUUUUGCUACUACCUUGCUAAUAGCUUUGUGAGGCAUGUCACCGAUGACAAGUGCAAGAAGAAAGCACCGAGGAGAAUCCACAAAUCCAAGAGGCAGAAGCAUAAGCGCGUCCUGCUCAAUGAUCUCUUGGGUGAACUUAUCAAAAUGCUAGCCAUCCCACUCUCCCUGGAAGCCCCGCCCCCUGCUACAUUUUCAUGGUCACCGCCCCCAGGAACGGCUACAAGAUGAAGCGACGCACAAGGUUUCUUCUCGCCUUCUUCUGGUUUUUCUCUUUGAUAUCCAUUUGUUGCCUUGGGUAUUUCUUGAUUCCUUCUCUUGUGUGUGUGUGUGUGUGCGCGUGUGCGCGCGCCGGGUGGGAGCAUCUACUGCACUAAUAGAAUGCCAAGCAUAGGAAGAGGCUCCCCAAGAUGAUAUAUGCUUCUUCAGUUUACGCACAUUUUUUAGAACUUUUUUCACCCAAUGAUAAUUCAUUACUGCUUGAACUCUCCAUGGUCAGACAAUUUGGUUGGUGUCAUGUUCUGAAUGCAUGGUGAUAUUGAUCACGUACAAGGCUUUCCGAUUCAACCGCAAUUUCCAGGGUAGUUGUUCUAGCAGGAUAUUGUAUUUGUUACGGAAAACACGGAUGAGUAAUUACAUGAUAUAUUAUUAAUAUUAAACUGUGUUGUUUCUCUGAAACUAACUUGGUAUUUCAGCUAUGGAAACUGAUGUUCUAACCUUAGUUCCGUAGAUGAAUCUUUGUUGUCUUUUUCAGAAAGGGAAUGUCUGGUAUAUCUUUCUUUGUGGAUUUAUUCAAUGAGUUUUCUACAUUGGGCUGCAUUGUUAAGAAAGAGUUUGAUGAUGCCACAAGAGCAAGAAUUAAAAGUCGUUUGUAGAACCAUGUUUCCUCAUGGCAGGAGGCGAGCAAUACUUUACUAUUACAAUGUUCAUUUUCAAUACAAUCAGAAGUAUGACACUGAUUGUCAAUUGUGCGUUCAUGCAGGUUGCGUGUUCAUGCAAUACUUUACCCAUGAAAUGGCGUGUGAUUCAAGUUCUUCGACGGAAUGGGCCCAACUCAUUCAGUGAAGAAAUUUCAAGGUUCUCUUUCGGAACUGGUUUGAGCUUCUAUAAGUUCAGUUUGAAGAACAGUAUCACAGAAUAAGGAAUCAUGAAAAUAAUGAGGUAACAGCAGAGGGUGAGUGUUGCAAAAAAGAUUGACGACUGGAGCUAAAAACAGGCAAGAGAAUGUACAGAAAAGCCUUACUUUAGAUUUAGCCAGUAGAGCAUGUGCCCUUCGCAUAGGGAUAAUAACUUUUAGUAAAACAGCAGCACCGGUUUGAUUCAGGGUAUACAAUAUCUUACAAACAGUCAAGGAUUCACCAACUCA